GUAACAAGGUUUCCGUAGGUGAACCUGCGGAAGGAUCAUUAUCGAAUCGUCGACAAGAGUUGUUGCUGGUCCUCAAACAGGGGGCAUGUGCACGCUCUGUUCACACAUCCACUCACACCCUGUGCACCCUCUGUAGUUCUAUGGCUCUCGCUGUGGUUCUGCUUCUUUACACACACACACCGUAACAAAGUCUCAUGGAAUGCAUGCCGCGUUUAACGCAAUACAAUACAACUUUCAGCAACGGAUCUCUUGGCUCUCGCAUCGAUGAAGAACGCAGCGAAAUGCGAUAAGUAAUGUGAAUUGCAGAAUUCAGUGAAUCAUCGAAUCUUUGAACGCACCUUGCGCCCUUUGGCCAUUCCGAAGGGCAUGCCUGUUUGAGUAUCAUGAACACCUCAACUCUUCAUGGUUUUCCAUGAUGAGCUUGGACUUUGGGGGUUUUGCUGGCCCUAUGGUCGGCUCCUCUAAAAUGAAUCGGCUUGCCAGUGUUUGGUGAGAGUCACAGGUGUGAUAACCAUCUACGCUUGUGGUUUUCCACCAGGUAACCUUCAGCGGUGGAGGUUCACUGGAGCUCACAGAUGUCUCUCCUCAGUGAAGACAGCCCUUUGAAUGUUUGAUCUCAAAUCAGGUAGGACU
rnacentral:rRNA from 1 species